rnacentral:rRNA from 1 species
AGUAGCGGCGAGCGAACGGGGAGCAGCCCAGAGCCUGAAUCAGUGUGUGUGUUAGUGGAAGCGUCUGGAAAGGCGCGCGAUACAGGGUGACAGCCCCGUACACAAAAAUGCACAUGCUGUGAGCUCGAUGAGUAGGGCGGGACACGUGGUAUCCUGUCUGAAUAUGGGGGGACCAUCCUCCAAGGCUAAAUACUCCUGACUGACCGAUAGUGAACCAGUACCGUGAGGGAAAGGCGAAAAGAACCCCGGCGAGGGGAGUGAAAAAGAACCUGAAACCGUGUACGUACAAGCAGUGGGAGCACGCUUAGGCGUGUGACUGCGUACCUUUUGUAUAAUGGGUCAGCGACUUAUAUUCUGUAGCAAGGUUAACCGAAUAGGGGAGCCGAAGGGAAACCGAGUCUUAACUGGGCGUUAAGUUGCAGGGUAUAGACCCGAAACCCGGUGAUCUAGCCAUGGGCAGGUUGAAGGUUGGGUAACACUAACUGGAGGACCGAACCGACUAAUGUUGAAAAAUUAGCGGAUGACUUGUGGCUGGGGGUGAAAGGCCAAUCAAACCGGGAGAUAGCUGGUUCUCCCCGAAAGCUAUUUAGGUAGCGCCUCGUGAAUUCAUCUCCGGGGGUAGAGCACUGUUUCGGCAAGGGGGUCAUCCCGACUUACCAACCCGAUGCAAACUGCGAAUACCGGAGAAUGUUAUCACGGGAGACACACGGCGGGUGCUAACGUCCGUCGUGAAGAGGGAAACAACCCAGACCGCCAGCUAAGGUCCCAAAGUCAUGGUUAAGUGGGAAACGAUGUGGGAAGGCCCAGACAGCCAGGAUGUUGGCUUAGAAGCAGCCAUCAUUUAAAGAAAGCGUAAUAGCUCACUGGUCGAGUCGGCCUGCGCGGAAGAUGUAACGGGGCUAAACCAUGCACCGAAGCUGCGGCAGCGACGCUUAUGCGUUGUUGGGUAGGGGAGCGUUCUGUAAGCCUGCGAAGGUGUGCUGUGAGGCAUGCUGGAGGUAUCAGAAGUGCGAAUGCUGACAUAAGUAACGAUAAAGCGGGUGAAAAGCCCGCUCGCCGGAAGACCAAGGGUUCCUGUCCAACGUUAAUCGGGGCAGGGUGAGUCGACCCCUAAGGCGAGGCCGAAAGGCGUAGUCGAUGGGAAACAGGUUAAUAUUCCUGUACUUGGUGUUACUGCGAAGGGGGGACGGAGAAGGCUAUGUUGGCCGGGCGACGGUUGUCCCGGUUUAAGCGUGUAGGCUGGUUUUCCAGGCAAAUCCGGAAAAUCAAGGCUGAGGCGUGAUGACGAGGCACUACGGUGCUGAAGCAACAAAUGCCCUGCUUCCAGGAAAAGCCUCUAAGCAUCAGGUAACAUCAAAUCGUACCCCAAACCGACACAGGUGGUCAGGUAGAGAAUACCAAGGCGCUUGAGAGAACUCGGGUGAAGGAACUAGGCAAAAUGGUGCCGUAACUUCGGGAGAAGGCACGCUGAUAUGUAGGUGAAGUCCCUCGCGGAUGGAGCUGAAAUCAGUCGAAGAUACCAGCUGGCUGCAACUGUUUAUUAAAAACACAGCACUGUGCAAACACGAAAGUGGACGUAUACGGUGUGACGCCUGCCCGGUGCCGGAAGGUUAAUUGAUGGGGUCAGCGCAAGCGAAGCUCUUGAUCGAAGCCCCGGUAAACGGCGGCCGUAACUAUAACGGUCCUAAGGUAGCGAAAUUCCUUGUCGGGUAAGUUCCGACCUGCACGAAUGGCGUAAUGAUGGCCAGGCUGUCUCCACCCGAGACUCAGUGAAAUUGAACUCGCUGUGAAGAUGCAGUGUACCCGCGGCAAGACGGAAAGACCCCGUGAACCUUUACUAUAGCUUGACACUGAACAUUGAGCCUUGAUGUGUAGGAUAGGUGGGAGGCUUUGAAGUGUGGACGCCAGUCUGCAUGGAGCCGACCUUGAAAUACCACCCUUUAAUGUUUGAUGUUCUAACGUUGACCCGUAAUCCGGGUUGCGGACAGUGUCUGGUGGGUAGUUUGACUGGGGCGGUCUCCUCCUAAAGAGUAACGGAGGAGCACGAA